AUGGGCGCAACAGAAGGUAGCCCUGGCGCUGGCCUGCCACGACCAUCCGAGUUUGACUGGAUGUUCACCGACGAGGGGUGGGCCUUGCUGUCCGAGGAGACACGCCGUUCAAUUAUAGGAGUUCUGGAUGAGGACAGAGAAGAGAAGACCCGCCUCCAAGAGCGCCGUCAAUCCCGGUCCCGGAAGGACCGCCGCAAGGAUCCUCGGCCGGACAAACAGAUACAACCUAGUAAGAGCCUCGACCCUAACCUGUCGAGGGAUGUUCGGGAUUCAGAUCAACUUUUGUGGAUCCGACAACAUCGCAUGCUCAACCAUUCAGAAUCUGCGCCGCCGCCGAUGCGCUAUACUUCCUGCCAACUCCUCGGGAAUGGAUGCUCUCAUUAUCCUCAUCCUAUGCUACAAUUCUUUGGUAUUUUUGUCCAGUUUUACAGGAACGCCUUGAAUAUCAUGUGUGGCAAUACACAUAUUGAUGUAUAUGGCUUGCUUGCUGUAAGGGAUUCCUUGGAUCCUUCCCGGAACUAUAUUUUUCACCGCUCGAGAGAGAAUGCUCAAGCUAUCGACGUGAAUGGUGGCUAUCUAAGUCUGAGCUACCCUGCACGGGGCAUAUCUGCAAUGGGCUGCCUGAUUGAGACUGAUAUAAAGAUCAAGGGCAAGGAAGUUGGCAAAGAUUUGUCGAUUAUUGAUGGAUCUGUGAAAGCCUUUGGGCAGUUUGACUCGAGGACUGCUAACCAUGUUGAUAACGUCAAUGGUAAAAUUAUAUUCAAGACACAUGUUGUUCGUAAAGGUGUCGAGGCAACUAUAGACCUCGAUUUUGUGGAGGUGCCAAUAGACAGCUUCAAUGUGCGGAUGCGUGGUAAAACUGUCCGUGGUAAAGCUGUUUACUCCUUUAUCACUGAGUGUUGUGAUGAUGACAGUUUUAUAGCUUCACCUGGGAAGCAUAAUAAGAAGUUUGUAGCGGCUGUGAGCAUAGGUGAUACACUAUGUGUAGACUUCAUGGAGAAAAGGCGAGAAGCGCUCUCUUUUGUAUCAUCCAAGCACGGCAACGAGCAGCUACCUUACCGAUUCAGCAAUGGAGCUUUGGUCUUUGUUAAAGUCUAUUGGUCAACCAUCGUCAAGGGUUGA
rnacentral:rRNA from 1 species